GUUCACGGCGGAGCAUUCAUAUCUGUGUACACAAUUCUUGACUUAUGACGGUGAAAACAAACAUACAUCGCAAUAUCAGAAACCCGUUAAGAUGUUGCAUUUAAAAAUUUAGUGUAAUAAGGAUAGUUCAAUUACUCAACUGCAAUGAAAAUCGUUCAUCGACAUGCUUGUCAACGAUCUUCCCUUCAUCUCAUUGGGCGACUGGCAAAAGGCUGCCAUCUCUGAUGGUUUGUUUUGAAGCCUCUGCACCAGCCAGACCAAAUUACAGUCGCAAACGAGAGCAUUGCUAUCUAAACGAAGACGUGUCAUGGGUCCCACAUUGUGAAAAGCGUCCGCUGAUGGUUGAAAUGUAGAUAUAGUUGUUCUAAGUUUGGCAGGCCGGAAAAUGCCCCUGGUGAAAUUCGUUCCAAACGAUUCUUAUAUAGAUAGAGGAUCCUUAAGUUUGAUGCACCUUCGAAGGUUCUUGGUAAGAGGUGUUUG